UACAUGCCUCACUUACAAACCCAAAGUUUACA
rnacentral:piRNA from 1 species